UCUCCUCACGGGGGUGCCUUCCAGGAACCAGGCCACUUCAGGCUUUGGAAUCCCGGAAACUACAGGGCCAGAUUGUGAAAAAUACCCAGGCCAAAAAAAGUAACAAGAGCAAAGAUGAAUCGUUUCUAAGAAGAAGGAGAUGCAGAACAGAAAAAUCAGAAGAAAAGAGAGGGACAAAGAAGGAGGAAGGACUGAAAGCCACUUCCCUUCCUGACCCCCGAGUUCCUGCUCCAGUAAAGUGACAUGCAGCCCCUUCCCCAUCCCUGCACUCCCUCCUCAGCCCGGACUUGAGGAACCAAAGAACUGUAAGGAGGAGACGUGUUCAACAAGACUUACAAGGAAGAACUGACAGGGCUGACGACUCAAGGAGAAAGAGGCAGGGGUCAAAAGGAUGCUGGAAAGUCCAGUCUGGGUGUGAAGGAACAUGGGAACCCUGGUAGAGGGGGUCAAGUCGAAGGAUCGCCUGACUUGAAAGACAGAGUAAAUUAUCAGUAAAUUCUGGGCAGGUUAAAUUUGGGGUGAUGGCAAGACGUUAGCAACAUUCAUUCUUCCAGUUGGCAACCACAGAUACAAAAGGGAGUCCGGGUGAGAAGAAAGGACUGAAGACAUGGUGGGGGAGACUAUGGGAACACAAGGGAAGGUGGCAGCCAAGCACAGGGCAUCUUCCCUCGUGGCCAGGUCUGCGCUGCCCUGUUCACCCUUUCUUCUUGUCAAAGACCUGCCCCUUGUGGCCGGGCGUGGUGGCUCACACCUGUAAUCCCAGCACUUUGGGAGGCCAAGGCAGGCAGAUCACUUGAGGUCAGCCUGGCCAACAUGGUAAAACCCU
rnacentral:lncRNA from 1 species